rnacentral:rRNA from 1 species
AGAUUAAGUUAUUAAGGGCGCACGGUGGAUGCCUUGGCACUAGAAGCCGAUGAAGGACGUUACUAACGACGAUAUGCUUUGGGUAGCUGUAAGUAAGCGUUGAUCCAGAGAUUUCCGAAUGGGGGAACCCAGCAUGAGUUAUGUCAUGUUAUCGACAUGUGAAUUCAUAGCAUGUCAGAAGGCAGACCCGGAGAACUGAAACAUCUUAGUACCCGGAGGAAGAGAAAGAAAAAUCGAUUCCCUGAGUAGCGGCGAGCGAAACGGGAAUAGCCCAAACCAACAAGCUUGCUUGUUGGGGUUGUAGGACACUCUAUACGGAGUUACAAAAGAACAUGUUAGACGAAUCAUCUGGAAAGAUGAAUCAAAGAAGGUAAUAAUCCUGUAGUCGAAAACAUAUUCUCUCUUGAGUGGAUCCUGAGUACGACGGAGCACGUGAAAUUCCGUCGGAAUCUGGGAGGACCAUCUCCUAAGGCUAAAUACUCUCUAGUGACCGAUAGUGAACCAGUACCGUGAGGGAAAGGUGAAAAGUACCCCGGAAGGGGAGUGAAAGAGAACUUGAAACCGUGUGCUUACAAGUAGUCAGAGCCCGUUAAUGGGUGAUGGCGUGCCUUUUGUAGAAUGAACCGGCGAGUUACGAUCUGAUGCAAGGUUAAGCAGCAAAUGUGGAGCCGCAGCGAAAGCGAGUCUGAAUAGGGCGUUGAGUAUUUGGUCGUAGACCCGAAACCAGGUGAUCUACCCUUGGUCAGGUUGAAGUUCAGGUAACACUGAAUGGAGGACCGAACCGACUUACGUUGAAAAGUGAGCGGAUGAACUGAGGGUAGCGGAGAAAUUCCAAUCGAACUUGGAGAUAGCUGGUUCUCUCCGAAAUAGCUUUAGGGCUAGCCUCAAGUGAUGAUUAUUGGAGGUAGAGCACUGUUUGGACGAGGGGCCCCUCUCGGGUUACCGAAUUCAGACAAACUCCGAAUGCCAAUUAAUUUAACUUGGGAGUCAGAACAUGGGUGAUAAGGUCCGUGUUCGAAAGGGAAACAGCCCAGACCACCAGCUAAGGUCCCAAAAUAUAUGUUAAGUGGAAAAGGAUGUGGCGUUGCCCAGACAACUAGGAUGUUGGCUUAGAAGCAGCCAUCAUUUAAAGAGUGCGUAAUAGCUCACUAGUCGAGUGACACUGCGCCGAAAAUGUAACGGGGCUAAACAUAUUACCGAAGCUGUGGAUUGUCCUUUGGACAAUGGUAGGAGAGCGUUCUAAGGGCGUCGAAGCAUGAUCGCAAGGACAUGUGGAGCACUUAGAAGUGAGAAUGCCGGUGUGAGUAG